GUUGCCCCUUGAGGCGUUGCAGUGCGACUCGGUGUCUUUUCUGUGUCAUAAGGUGGCAUAGAACAAAGGGCUAUGUUUACGCCUAGCACCCGUCUAUUGCAGUGGGUUCUCGGUGUCUUUAUAGUCCUACAAU